AGUACCGCUCUUCCUUUCUCUCUUGCUUUCUGUCUUGCUCUUAUAUUUAUAGUCACAGAUUUUUUCUUUUGUGUUUUCCUAUUCUGGUGGAGAUUUUUGAGCUAAAAUGGAAUAUUUGACUUUUUCCAAAAUUACGAUUCUUGCAUACACUAAUUAAUUAAAGGCAAGGAGGUAUUGCACGGUGUGCAAUAUAGCACAAAUCUCAGCCGCAUCUCAUUAUUUCAAAAAAAAAAAAAAAAACCUCUCACUUCUUCAGUCCUCUUCCCUCUGCUGCCACCGCCACCCUCAGUUUCUGCAUCUUACCCAAACCACAUCCGCAUGCCCACCUUCAUCUCUGCUCUGUCUCUCUUCUUUUUCUAGUUGACGAAGCGAACCUUCAACCGUUUCGUGGGUUUUGUGAAUCUUUGUUUUCUUCCUUCUCUAAACUUGCAUGUGAUACAUCUAUUCUGUUGGGUUUGCUGAAGAAGAAAGAAACAAUGAUGCUCUUGUAUAUGCUACCUAUCAGAUUUGUUACAUGUUUAUCACGGCAAGCAUGCAAGACCAAAUUAUGCAACAUUUUUGGAGAGACAUGUUGAUAGGGAUCAAGCUAAACAUAUCCACUUUGAUAAGGAGAUGAAGAUGAAGUUUAAGUCCCAUGUAUUUCAAUAUUAGUUUAGAUCGGGUUUAAUAAGCUUUAUCUAGCUUAUAAUGUUGGGUAGAUUCUCAUAGAAUGCUUAUCAAUUGCUUGUAAUGUUGAUUUAUAUUCAGCCACGUGGAAUAAAUAAUGUUUGAUUAGUUCAUUAACUUUUGUGAACCAUUUAAAACACAAGAUUUGAGCUCCUAUUGUAUAGACCCCUGUUAUCAUUUUGGUGUUACAUAGUUGUUCUAUUGUUGCGUGUUAAUGAACCCUUUCUGAGAGUCAUGGAAGUCA